UACGUAGGGUGCGAGCGUUAAUCGGAAUUACUGGGCGUAAAGCGUGCGCAGGCGGUUCGUUGUGUCUGUGGUGAAAGCCCCGGGCUUAACCUGGGAAUGGCCAUGGAAACUGGCGAGCUGGAGUCUGGCAGAGGGGGGGUGGAAUUCCGCGUGUAGCAGUGAAAUGCGUAGAGAUCGGAAAAGAACACCAAACGGCGAAAGCACUCUGCUGGGGCCGACACUGACACUGAGAGACGAAAGCUAGGGGGAGCGAAUGGG
rnacentral:rRNA from 1 species